rnacentral:rRNA from 1 species
UACGUAGGGGGGCAAGCGUUGUCCGGAAUCAUUGGGCGUAAAGCGCGUGUAGGCGGCCAGAUAAGUCCGUUCUGAAAGCCCGGGGCUCAACCCCGGGAGGCGGAUGGAUACUGUUUGGCUCGAGUCCGGAAGAGGCGAGUGGAAUUCCCGGUGUAGCGGUGAAAAUGCGCAGAUAUCGGGGAGGAACACCAAAUGGCGAAGGCAGCUCGCUGGGGACGGUACUGACGCUGAGGCGCGAAAGCGUGGGGGAGCAAACAGGG